rnacentral:rRNA from 1 species
UACGUAGGAUGCAAGCGUUGUCCGGAUUUAUUGGGCGUAAAGAGCGCGCAGGCGGUGUAUCAAGUUUGAUGUGAAAGAGGCCGGCUUAACCGGCAAGGGUCAUUUGAAACUGAUAGACUAGAGUGCAGCAGAGGAUAGUGGAAUUCCCGGUGUAGUGGUGAAAUGCGUAGAUAUCGGGAGGAAUACCAGUGGCGAAGGCGACGAUCUGGGCUGCAACUGACGCUGAGGCGCGAAGGCUAGGGUAGCAAACAGG